GUUAGAUUCCAGAGGACAUCUAUAUUGCAGCGGGUAAUUUGGAAGAGCUGUCUACCCUGAAUAAAGCGUACCUGAUCCGCGUGGACUAAAUGGGUUAGGAAAGGGUUCAAUCUCCCGCAAGUAUCUUGGCUAGGAUGUUGCUAUCGUGGUUGAUUAGUGAAAUUGGGUGGUAUGCCUCCGGCAUAUUGGUAUCUUUGGCCGAUUUAGGGAGGAGGACUAUGUUAGCCCUGGUCAUGUCUCUGUCAGGCAAGUGUCCAGACAUUAGACCGUUAAAGAGGGAUUGCAAGUGCGGGAUUAG